rnacentral:rRNA from 1 species
UAGGGAAUCUUCGGCAAUGGACGAAAGUCUGACCGAGCAACGCCGCGUGAGUGAAGAAGGUUUUCGGAUCGUAAAACUCUGUUGUUAGAGAAGAACAAGGACGUUAGUAACUGAACGUCCCCUGACGGUAUCUAACCAGAAAGCCACGGCUAACUACGUGCCAGCAGCCGCGGUAAUACGUAGGUGGCAAGCGUUGUCCGGAUUUAUUGGGCGUAAAGCGAGCGCAGGCGGUUUCUUAAGUCUGAUGUGAAAGCCCCCGGCUCAACCGGGGAGGGUCAUUGGAAACUGGGAGACUUGAGUGCAGAAGAGGAGAGUGGAAUUCCAGGUGUAGCGGUGAAAUGCGUAGAUAUAUGGAGGAACACAAGUGGCGAAGGCGGCUCUCUGGUCUGUAACUGACGCUGAGGCUCGAAAGCGUGGGGAGCAAACAGG